GGCUAACGCUGGCGGCGUGUCUUAGCCAUGCAAGUCGAGCGGACUUAUGGGGUAACUUAUAAGUCAGCGGCGGACGGCGGAGUAACACGUAGCUAACCUACCCUCUGGACGGGGGAUAACCUACCGAAAGGUGGGCUAAUACCCGAUGUAGUCAUCCUGUAUAGGGGUGAUGAAAGGUGGGCUUCUGUUUACAAGCUCAUGCUGGAGGAGGGGGCUGCGGCCUAUCAGGUAGUUGGUAGGGUAAUAGCCUACCAAGCCGAUGACGGGUAGCCGGCCUGAGAGGGUGACCGGCCCGAGGGGCACUGAGAUACGGGUCCCACUCCUACGGGAGGCAGCAGGCUAGAAAUUUGGGCAAUGGGGGAAACCCUGACCCAGUGACGCCGCGUGCAGGAAGGAGCCCUUCGGGGUGUAAACUGCUGUCGUGUAGGGAGAAGGGUACUAAGGUGAACAAUCUUAGUACUUGACGGUACUACAGGAGGAAGCCCAGGCUAACCUCGUGCCAGCAGCCGCGGUAAGAUAGCGUACU
rnacentral:rRNA from 1 species